CUUGUCAAUCAAACCUGGAGCCCAACGCAGCCGCUGAAGUUUUCAAGGCUACAUUUGCUCUCUCCCCUGGAGAGCCAGUUACAAUCCCAAGUGUGAUUUCCUCUCUAGUGUCCCACCAGAGCAACACAUUGGAAGAAAUCCAAGGAGGACAUACCACUUCUCACUUUUUCUAUUAAAUACUCAAAACUGGAAACAACCCAGAUGUUCUUCAACAGGUGAAUGGUUGAACAGACUGUUGCACAGCUUCACCAUGGAAUAGUUCUCCAGCAAGGAAAAAGAAUGAACCACCAACACAUACAAUUUUGAUGAGUCUCCAGACAAUUAUGCUGAGAGGGAGAAAAAAGCUGAUAUCAAGAGAUUACAUACUGUAUGAUUCCAUUUAUGUAACGUUGGUAAAAUAACAAAGUAAUGGAAAUAAAGAUCAGAUUAGUAGAUUCCAGCAUUUAAGGAGGAGAUAAGGGUGGAUGUGACUAACAAAGGGCAACAUGAGGGAUCCUUGUGAUGAUGGAAACGUUCUGUAUCUUGACUGUAUCAGUGUCAAUAUCCUGAUUGUGA